CCUACGGGAGGCAGCAGUAAGGAAUAUUGGUCAAUGGAGGCAACUCUGAACCAGCCAUGCCGCGUGCAGGAAGAAGGCCCUAUGGGUCGUAAACUGCUUUUGUACCAGAGAAAACCCGAGUACGUGUACUCGGUUGAUAGUAUGGUAAGAAUAAGCAUCGGCUAACUUCGUGCCAGCAGCCGCGGUAAGACGAAGGAUGCAAGCGUUAUCCGGAUUCAUUGGGUUUAAAGGGUGCGUAGGCGGACUGAUAAGUCAGUGGUGAAAUCUCUCGGCUUAACCGAGAAACUGCCAUUGAUACUGUUAGUCUAGAGUAUAGAUGACGUUGGCGGAAUAUGACAUGUAGUGGUGAAAUACUUAGAUAUGUCAUAGAACACCGAUUGCGAAGGCAGCUAACGAAACUAUAACUGACGCUGAGGCACGAAAGUGCGGGGAUCAAACAGGAUUAGAUACCCUGGUAGUCCGCACCGUAAACGAUGAUUACUCGUUGUUGGCAUAUAGACCGUCACGCGACCGACGACGAAGACGAGUAAGUAAGUAACCGUACCGUACGGGGUUAGGUUACGGUCCGGGCCGGAACCGGGUACGGAACCGUUACGAAGUAGUUAAGUUAGACGGCGUUGGAGGACGCGCCGACGGACGACGACGGAGGGAGGAGG
rnacentral:rRNA from 1 species